rnacentral:tRNA from 1 species
ACGGGUGUAGCUCAGUUGGUAGAGCAGCGGAUUCCAAAUCCGCAGGUCCGGGGUUCAAGUCCUCGCGCCCGUGCCA